CUCAGUCAUGCUGAUGAAACUUUGUCAUCUCAGCUGGUGGAGAUAUCAACUGAUACUUUUAGGUGGCAAAAGAACCAGCUUGAAAAUGAACUCGAGUUAACCAGAGAAAGCCUGAGGAGUAGAGAAAUGGAAGCUCUUGCAGCACAAAGGGCUCUGAAACUCAAAGAGGAGGAGCUCAAAAUGGUUCGGCAAAAAUUAGAUGAUAGGGAGGAAGAAAUAAAUAAAGAAAUGGAAGCUCUUGCAGUACAAAGGGCUCUAAAACUCAAAGAGGAGGAGCUCAAAAUGGUUCGUCAAAAAUUAGAUGAUAAGGAGGAAGAAAUAAAUAAAAUGAAGGAAAUGACUCGAGAUGCAGAUGACCUGAGGC
rnacentral:lncRNA from 1 species